UACGGAGGGUGCAAACGUUGCUCGGAAUCAUUGGGCGUAAAGCGCACGUAGGCGGCCUGUUAAGUCGGAUGUGAAAGCCCCGGGCUCAACCCGGGAAGUGCAUUCGAAACUGGCGGGCUUGAAUAUGGAAGAGGGUCGCGGAAUUCCCGGUGUAGAGGUGAAAUUCGUAGAUAUCGGGAGGAACACCAGUGGCGAAGGCGGCGACCUGGGCCAAUACUGACGCUCAGGCACGAAAGCGUGGGGAGCAAACAGG
rnacentral:rRNA from 1 species